AGGGCUUGACAUAAACAGGAAUAAUCUAGAGAUAGGUUAGCUCUUCGGAGCCUGUUUACAGGUGGUGCAUGGUUGUCGUCAGCUCGUGUCGUGAGAUGUUGGGUUAAGUCCCGCAACGAGCGCAACCCCUAUUGCUAGUUGCCAGCACGUUAUGGUGGGAACUCUAGCGAGACUGCCGGUGAUAAAUCGGAGGAAGGUGGGGAUGACGUCAAAUCAUCAUGCCCUUUAUGUCCUGGGCUACACACGUACUACAAUGGCUAUCACAGAGGGAAGCAAUAUAGUGAUAUGGAGCAAAACCCUAAAAAUAGUCUCAGUUCGGAUUGAAGACUGAAAUUCGUCUUCAUGAAGCUGGAAUUGCUAGUAAUGGCAGGUCAGCAUACUGCCGUGAAUACGUUCCCGGGCC
rnacentral:rRNA from 1 species